rnacentral:rRNA from 1 species
GACGAACGCUGGCGGCGUGCUUAACACAUGCAAGUCGAACGGUAAGGCCCUUCGGGGUACACGAGUGGCGAACGGGUGAGUAACACGUGGGUGAUCUGCCCUGCACUUCGGGAUAAGCCUGGGAAACUGGGUCUAAUACCGGAUAGGACCACUGCCUGCAUGGGUGGUGGUGGAAAGCUUUUGCGGUGUGGGAUGGGCCCGCGGCCUAUCAGCUUGUUGGUGGGGUGAUGGCCUACCAAGGCGACGACGGGUAGCCGGCCUGAGAGGGUGACCAGCCACACUGGGACUCAGAGACGGCGCAGACUCCGACGGGAGGCAGCAGUGGGGAAUAUUGCACAAUGGGCGCAAGCCUGAUGCAGCGACGCCGCGUGAGGGAUGACGGCCUUCGGGUUGUAAACCUCUUUCAGCACCGACGAAGCGCAAGUGACGGUAGGUGCAGAAGAAGGACCGGCCAACUACGUGCCAGCCGCCGCCGUAA